GACGAACGCUGGCGGCGUGCUUAACACAUGCAAGUCGAACGGAAAGGCCCUGCUUUUGUGGGGUGCUCGAGUGGCGAACGGGUGAGUAACACGUGAGUAACCUGCCCUUGACUUUGGGAUAACUUCAGGAAACUGGGCCUAAUACCGGAUAGGAGCUCCUGCUGCAUGGUGGGGGUUGGAAAGUUUCGGCGGUUGGGGAUGGACUCGCGGCUUAUCAGCUUGUUGGUGGGGUAGUGGCUUACCAAGGCUUUGACGGGUAGCCGGCCUGAGAGGGUGACCGGCCACAUUGGGACUGAGAUACGGCCCAGACUCCUACGGGAGGCAGCAGUGGGGAAUAUUGCACGAUGGGCGGAAGCCUGAUGCAGCAACGCCGCGUGCGGGAUGACGGCCUUCGGGUUGUAAACCGCUUUCGCCUGUGACGAAGCGUGAGUGACGGUAAUGGGUAAAGAAGCACCGGCUAACUACGUG
rnacentral:rRNA from 1 species